rnacentral:rRNA from 1 species
UGCCAGCAGCCGCGGUAAUACGUAGGUGGCAAGCGUUGUCCGGAAUUAUUGGGCGUAAAGGGUGCGUAGGCGGCUCUUUAAGUGGGAUGUGAAAUCCCUAGGCUCAACCUAGGAACUGCAUUCCAAACUGGAGAGCUAGAGUGCAGGAGAGGAAAGCGGAAUUCCCAGUGUAGCGGUGAAAUGCGUAGAGAUUGGGAGGAACACCAGUGGCGAAGGCGGCUUUCUGGACUGUAACUGACGCUGAGGCACGAAAGCGUGGGGAGCAAACAGGAUUAGAUA